rnacentral:rRNA from 1 species
CCCGCUGAACUUAAGCAUAUCAAUAAGCGGAGGAAAAGAAACUAACAAGGAUUCCCCCAGUAACUGCGAGUGAAGAGGGAAGAGCUCAAAUUUAAAAUCUGGCAGUCUCUGGCUGUCCGAGUUGUAAAUUAGAGAAGUGUUAUCCGCGCUGGACUGUGCAUAAGUUCCUUGGAAAAGGGCAUCAUAGAGGGUGACAAUCCCGUCUUUGGCACAGACUACCAGGGCUUUUGUGAUGCGCUCUCAAUGAGUCGAGUUGUUUGGGAAUGCAGCUCUAAAUGGGUGGUAAAUUCCAUCUAAAGCUAAAUAUUGGCGAGAAACCGAUAGCGCACAAGUACCGUGAGGGAAAGAUGAAAAGAACUUUGAAAAGAGAGUUAAACAGUACGUGAAAUUGUUGAAAGGGAAACGCUUGAAGUCAGUCACAUCCUUCAGAAAUCAACCUGAUCAUUGGUCUGGUGUACUUUCUGUUUGGAUGGGUCAGCAUCAAUUUUGAUCAUUGGAUAAAGGAUUAGGGAAUGUGGCAUCCUCGGAUGUGUUAUAACCCUUGUUCAUAUACAGUGGUUGGGAUUGAGGAACUCAGUGCUUGCACUCAGGAUGCUGACAUAAUGGCUUUAAUCGACCCGUCUUGAAACACGG